rnacentral:lncRNA from 1 species
GGCGAGGCCUGAGCUGAGUGGUAAAUAACAAAUAAGAGUUACUAAGUGAAGACUUUGGGGAAGAGUUUUCUGGGCAGAGGGAACAGUAAAUGCAGAGGCUGGGGGCCAGAAGACGUGGUGUACUCCGGGAGUCCCAAGUUAUUCCACGGAGCUGCAGGUGACAGCGCGACAGGGCAGGAGGGGACUGCAGGAGUGCCCAGAGGCAGUUUCUUUCAGUGGGAAGCACCCAUGCAGGGGGAGGCUGAGAAUCAGGGAACAGGCGGCCCAGCUCCACGCUGACCUGCUGGAGGACCACAGACAGGGAAACUGAGACCCAGAGAGGACAUGGGGAGGCUCACAGUCACGCAGCUGGCCUCUUGCCUGGGGCCUGCCUUCUCGUCUGGAUGCGGGAGUAACAUGGACCUGGGUUCAAAUCCUCGCUCUACCACCCACCAGCUGUACGGCCUCAGCUUCCUCAGAGGCCACGUCAGACAGCUCGGUGGGGAGGAGGCGGCGUUGCGAAACCCAGCACAGAGGGAUCCAGGGCCCCACUCCUCGGCUCAGGAAAUGAUGUGCCAUCAGUGAGCAAGAGGGGCCGAUGCACUGGCACCCUCAGGUCCCAGGAGCAGGAGGCUGCUGGGCUGUGGGUUCACCCCUACCCUCUGAGUGACCUUGGGCAGCCAUCCAGCUACUAGGAGCCUCA